CAGGGGGUCGAACUCAAUGAUCUAUUGAGGUCCCUUCCAACCCUAACAUCUAUGAAUCUAUGAAUCUAUACUUCAUUGCUGUGCAGGUGGCAUCAUCAUUGUGGGACAGAACUCCACCUGGGAUUUCCGUGAUGAGAACGUCCCCUAGAGCUGUGGUUGCCAACCUUUUUAGACUGCAGACUGGCAUACCGUGACCGAAAGCAGAACCUUUCAUAGAUUGAAAGAAAGAAGAAGGAAGAAAAGGUAGAAGAGGAAAAACAUAUUUAAAGAGGGGAGAGCAAAUGCAGGCAAGAGGAAAAGGGAGCUUUCUGCUACACCACAACAUUUGAUUCCCAAGCCAUGCUGAAGUCUGCAGAUCUUAGCAAGAGGAUACCUAGGAAUUUAGACCUCAUUAGGUCCCUGCUUUCAGCUGUCUUGAGUGUAAGUGAGGAGAUCAUCGCAAAAAAGGCAACCUAAUGGCAGCCAUAAGCCUUUGGUGUUUGCAAACUACCAUCAAAAAGGGAGCAAAUCUACUACCUUGGUGUGAGUAAAAUAGGUCUGGAUCCCAGGGCCUCUUGCCUAAAAGCACUACAAAAAACCUAAAUCCAGGUCUUGGACCCUCUCCCCACCACCUUUCUGAGGCACCCACUAGGUGGGCUAUUGUGAGAGUGGACAACUGUUUGGCUAUCUCCAUUCUCCUCCUUCACUUACAUACCUCCUCCAUGAACAUAGGGCAGGGAGUCAAGGGAGUCUGCACCUUGCCAUUAAGAGCGUAGGCAGGACCAGCCCUAGCAGCAGACAGGGGCUGAAAUCUUCCAAAAGGGGAAGUUUGACACAACAGGGAAAUCACGGAGCCUUCAAGUGUCCCUAGUGAACACUGCAAAACCUGGAGUUCCCUGAAUGGUGAUUCUGAACUGCAGGGCCCCUGGGCUCCAUGCAUCAAGGCAAAGGUGGUGUGAUGGGCUAGGUGGUAGUGACUUAGCCCAGGGGUUUUGAAAGGAUAAAAGAUGAUUGGAGGACUUGGGAUUCCCUUUCCUCACCAAUCUGUUAAUGAUUUGGCCCAGAGGUUUU